rnacentral:sRNA from 1 species
GCAGGACAUGGUUGUGCAUGCCUGUAACCCCAGCUACAUGGGAGGCUAAGGUAGGAGGAUCAUGAGUUCAAGGACAGCUUGGACAAUUUAAUGAGACUUUGCCUCAA